rnacentral:tRNA from 1 species
GCCCUGAUGGCGGAAUUGGUAGACGCGCUGGUCUCAAACACCAGUGGAGCGAUCCGUGCCGGUUCGAUCCCGGCUCAGGGUA